rnacentral:rRNA from 1 species
AUACGGAGGAUGCGAGCGUUAUCCGGAUUUAUUGGGUUUAAAGGGAGCGUAGGUGGGAUAUUAAGUCAGCUGUGAAAGUUUGGGGCUCAACCUUAAAAUUGCAGUUGAUACUGGUUUCCUUGAGUACGGUACAGGUGGGCGGAAUUCGUGGUGUAGCGGUGAAAUGCUUAGAUAUCACGAAGAACUCCGAUCGCGAAGGCAGCUCACCGGGCCGGAACUGACACUGAUGCUAGAAAGUGCGGGUAUCAAACAGGAUUAGAUACCCUGGUAGUCCGCACAGUAAACGAUGAAUACUCGCUGUUUGCGAUACACGGUAAGCGGCCAAGCGAAAGCGUUAAGUAUUCCACCUGGGGAGUACGCCGGCAACGGUGAAACUCAAAUGAAUUGACGGGU